rnacentral:rRNA from 1 species
UACGUAGGGUGCGAGCGUUAAUCGGAAUUACUGGGCGUAAAGCGUGCGCAGGCGGUUUCGUAAGACAGAUGUGAAAUCCCCGGGCUUAACCUGGGAACUGCGUUUGUGACUGCGAGACUUGAGUGCGGCAGAGGGGGGUGGAAUUCCACGUGUAGCAGUGAAAUGCGUAGAGAUGUGGAGGAACACCGAUGGCGAAGGCAGCCCCCUGGGUCGACACUGACGCUCAUGCACGAAAGCGUGGGGAGCAAACAGGAUUAGAAACCCUAGUAGUCC